rnacentral:rRNA from 1 species
UACGUAGGGGGCAAGCGUUGUCCGGAAUUAUUGGGCGUAAAGAGCGCGUAGGCGGUCCGAUAAGUCGGCUGUGAAAGUCCAGGGCUCAACCCUGGAAAGCCGGCCGAUACUGUCGGACUAGAGUCCGGAAGAGGCGAGUGGAAUUCCCGGUGUAGCGGUGAAAUGCGCAGAUAUCGGGAGGAACACCAAUGGCGAAGGCGGCUACCUGGACCGGUUCUGACGCUGAGGCGCGAAAGCGUGGGUAGCAAACAGG